CAGGCCUAACACAUGCAAGUCGAGCGGGCGUAGCAAUACGUCAGCGGCAGACGGGUGAGUAACGCGUGGGAACGUACCUUUUGGUUCGGAACAACACAGGGAAACUUGUGCUAAUACCGGAUAAGCCCUUACGGGGAAAGAUUUAUCGCCGAAAGAUCGGCCCGCGUCUGAUUAGCUAGUUGGUGAGGUAAUGGCUCACCAAGGCGACGAUCAGUAGCUGGUCUGAGAGGAUGAUCAGCCACAUUGGGACUGAGACACGGCCCAAACUCCUACGGGAGGCAGCAGUGGGGAAUAUUGGACAAUGGGGGCAACCCUGAUCCAGCCAUGCCGCGUGAGUGAUGAAGGCCCUAGGGUUGUAAAGCUCUUUUGUGCGGGAAGAUAAUGACGGUACCGCAAGAAUAAGCCCCGGCUAACUUCGUGCCAGCAGCCGCGGUAAU
rnacentral:rRNA from 1 species